rnacentral:rRNA from 1 species
UACGUAGGGUGCAGGCGUUAAUCGGAAUUACUGGGCGUAAAGCGUGCGCAGGCGGUUUGCUAAGACAGGUGUGAAAUCCCCGGGCUUAACCUGGGAACUGCGCUUGUUACUGGCAGGCUUGAGUGUGGCAGAGGGGGGGUGGAAUUCCACGUGUAGCAGUGAAAUGCGUAGAGAAUGUGGAGGAACACCGGUGGCGAAGGCGGGAUCGUCUGGG